AGAGUUUGAUCCUGGCUCAGGAUGAACGCUGGCGGCGUGCUUAACACAUGCAAGUCGAACGAAGCAUAGGAGUGGAAUUUUUCGGAAAGAACAACUAUGACUGAGUGGCGGACGGGUGAGUAACGCGUGGGUAACCCUGCCUCAUACAGGGGGAAUACAGUUGGAAAUGACUGCUAAUACCGCAUAAGCGCACAAAACCGCAUGGUUUGGUGUGAAAAACUGAGGUGGUAUGAGAUGGACCCGCGUCUGAUUAGCUAGUUGGAGAGGUACGGCUCACCAAAGGCAACGAUCAGUAGCCGACCUGAGAGGGUGACCGGCCACAUUGGGACUGAGACACGGCCCAAACUCCUACGGGAGGCAGCAGUGGGGAAUAUUGCACAAUGGGGGAAACCCUGAUGCAGCAACGCCGCGUGAGUGAAGAAGUAUUUCGGUAUGUAAAGCUCUAUCAGCAGGGAAGAAGAGAGACGGUACCUGACUAAGAAGCCCCGGCUAACUACGUGCCAGCAGCCGCGGUAAUACGUAGGGGGCAAGCGUUAUCCGGAUUUACUGGGUGUAAAGGGAGCGUAGACGGUUGCAUAAGUCUGAAGUGAAAGGCCAAGGCUUAACCAUGGAACUGCUUUGGAAACUAUGAGGCUAGAGUGCUGGAGAGGUAAGUGGAAUUCCUAGUGUAGCGGUGAAAUGCGUAGAUAUUAGGAGGAACACCAGUGGCGAAGGCGGCUUACUGGACUGUAACUGACGUUGAGGCUCGAAAGCGUGGGGAGCAAACAGGAUUAGGUACCCUGGUAGUCCACGCCGUAAACGAUGAUUACUAGGUGUCGGGGGGCAGAGGCCCUUCGGUGCCGCAGCAAACGCAAUAAGUAAUCCACCUGGGGAGUACGUCCGCAAGGAUGAAACUCAAGGGAAUUGACGGGGACCCGCACAAGCGGUGGAGCAUGUGGUUUAAUUCGAAGCAACGCGAAGAACCUUACCCGGCCUUGACAUCCCCCUGACAGUGUAUGUAAUGUACAUUCCCUUCGGGGCAGGAGAGACAGGUGGUGCAUGGUUGUCGUCAGCUCGUGUCGUGAGAUGUUGGGUUAAGUCCCGCAACGAGCGCAACCCUUACCCACAGUAGCCAGCACAAAAGGUGGGCACUCUGUGGGGACUGCCGGGGACAACCCGGAGGAAGGUGGGGAUGACGUCAAAUCAUCAUGCCCCUUAUGGCCGGGGCUACACACGUGCUACAAUGGCGUAAACAAAGGGAAGCGAGAGAGUGAUCUUAAGCGAAACUCAAAAAUAACGUCCCAGUUCGGAUUGCAGUCUGCAACUCGACUGCAUGAAGCUGGAAUCGCUAGUAAUCGCGGAUCAGAAUGCCGCGGUGAAUACGUUCCCGGGUCUUGUACUCACCGCCCGUCA
rnacentral:rRNA from 1 species